AAAAUAUGAUAAUAUGUUGUCAAAGUGUUUUGUGCUUCUUUUGCAGAAAUUCAAUGACAUAUUUGUAUAUGAAGAUGCAUUUCUAGGGUUACUUCUCUAAGAGGAAUUAAACACCAAAUUGGGUUUAUGCUUCAGGCAACUCUCCUAGAUAAUGCUUACACGACCAAUCCCACCGAGACUAAGCUUUUGUCUAGACCAAACCAACUUCGUAGGAUUCUUAACGGGAAAUAAUGGAGUGCAAGUUGAUGAA